GUUGAUCUGAAUCAAACACUAACGUUAGUUAGCCAUCCUCGGCGACAAUGUUAUUGUGGCGCAGGAAUGUCAUAUUUGUGUUUUAACUUUAUGUUAACUGUCAUUGAAGUUGAUGCUUACUAUUAGGUUUCAGAUUCGAAGUAAGAUCAAUUGCCCGUUAUGUUUUGUGUUUCGUUAAGGACUCAGAGUGCCCUUCCUGCGGAAGGAAAUGUCGACUCCCGGAACACUUAAAACAAAGUAACUGUACUACUGUAGCCAACACUCUUAUUUUCUAAGACAAGCGAAGAAACGCGUAGUUUCCACAAUGGAUCCGGCAAAUAUACUUGUAUGGGAGUCCAGACGGCAGCAUUAACAUUGGCCUUGUAUUUGCAUCCAUUCCUUGCAGUCAUUACUAGAGACAACCGGCAGAAUUGUGUCCAGAGCCUUGUCUCCCACCUACACCUUACAAGAACACAAUGCAGAACGGUACCGGUGCCGAGCCGGUUACAUUGGUGCCGUGAUCCAGAUCAACGUGGAUCAUUAUGAAUCGCCGUUGAUCAACACCAGCUUGGUCACCGGGAGUUGCUAUGCUAUAAAUAGGUUGGAAGUGAAAUCUCUUAAACACACCAAAAAAUAGCUAAUGGUUUGUUUGGUAUAUCUCUUAGAUUAACUGAUACAUUUGAAAUUGUUGUUACAUAUAUUCCAUUUUAUUUGUGUAUUUUGAUAGUGAAUAUGACUUCAAGUUGAAGUCGGAAGUUUACGUACACUUAGGUUGGAGUCAUUAAAACUCGUCUUUCAACCACUCCACAAAUUUCUUGUUAACAAACUAUAGUUUUGGCAAGUCUGUUAGGACAUCUACUUUGUGCAUGACAAGUCAUUUUUCCAACA